rnacentral:rRNA from 1 species
GACGAACGCUGGCGGCGUGCCUAAUACAUGCAAGUCGAGCGGACCAAACAGGAGCUUGCUCUUGUUUGGUUAGCGGCGGACGGGUGAGUAACACGUGGGUAACCUGCCCGUAAGACCGGGAUAACUCCGGGAAACCGGAGCUAAUACCGGAUAACACCGAAGACCGCAUGGUCUUUGGUUGAAAGGCGGCUUCGGCUGCCACUUACGGAUGGGCCCGCGGCGCAUUAGCUAGUUGGUGAGGUAACGGCUCACCAAGGCGACGAUGCGUAGCCGGCCUGAGAGGGUGACCGGCCACACUGGGACUGAGACACGGCCCAGACUCCUACGGGAGGCAGCAGUAGGGAAUCUUCCGCAAUGGACGAAAGUCUGACGGAGCGACGCCGCGUGAGCGAAGAAGGGCGUCGGAUCGGAAAGCUCGGUUGUUAGGGAAGAAGAAGCGCCGUUCGAACAGGGCGGCGCGGUGACGGUACCUAACGAGAAAGCCCCGGCUAACUACGUG